rnacentral:misc_RNA from 1 species
AAUAAAAAAUAAAAAAUAAAAAAAGAGGGAAGAAUUGAGGACUAUUUCAAUUGAGUGAAAAAAGUAAUUGCUAAGCUUUUAGUCAAGCAGCUGGAGUCCAUACUACAAAGUCCUACGACUAAAAAUUACCUUUUAAAGAAGGACAUUUGGUUUCAAAACACAUAUGAAGAGCAAACAGUCAUACAGUAGCAUCACAUGACUUUUGUCAUACCUAGAGAUUUUACACAAAGGAAUGGCAUCCUUUGUAGCAAUUUUCAUGCCAAGAUUUCAAUAUCAUGAUGUUAAAAUAUCCAUGCUGCAUCUCCAUAGAAAGAUCAAACAUUACGAUGAAUUAAUGCUUAUGAAGGUUUUCAUAGGUCCAAUAUUAAGUAUGGCCCACUACAAUUCAAGUUCUGCAUAAAUCUUUAAGCAAGUUUGUCAAUCAGCACAGGAUACACCACAGAAUUUAUGAAUUUGGCAAAAAUUGAAAUGGAAGAAAAAACAAGAUUCUGUUCUACCACUCAAGAGAAAAUCCCAUUCUUGCAUUCUACAAUUAAAGUCUUUAAUCCACACUGAGAAAAAAAACCCAAUCACAGAGACAAAAAAAACACCAAUCAAAUAAAUGUAAGCUGUAUUUUCAACUGGCAUUUUACUUGACUUAUAUAAUCUCUAUGUCAACAUCUGCAGCAGAAUUGCAUAUUACAUUUGCACAUAGACACAUAAAAUGAAAUUCAGACCAGCAAACCAGCCUAAUUCGGGUUAGAGGAGCAAUAUCCACAGUGGAGACACAAAUUAGGUAGCUACUGCCCACAAGUCAGUAUUCCUUUUGCCUAUUCUUUUAUUGUUUCUUUUCACCAAGAACCAUUUUGUCCAAAGUUUUACAGAAAACAGGAAGAUAAACUGGCCAAUUAACAAGUCCUUACAAUCCACAGAACAAAUGUCGCUAAAAUUUUAAUUAUAUAUAUAAAAAAAUUAGGAAUAUCCUCCUUGCUUCAUUGAUAUAGCCUUCCAAUCAAAACACGCACUGAAAUGUAGACAAGUAACAUUACAAAGUAAAUCAGAGAAAUGCUUUAGAAGAAAAAAAAUAGGUAUUCUAAUUCCAAACAGAACAUGACUGAAAAAUCACAAUCAGUCAUAAUCACCAUAAAUCUGAACUUGAUCACUAGAUAAUGAAAUCUCGCUUAAACUUAAUAUCAACAUAAACCCGAUCAUUUAAUAAAAACUGAGUGUGAAAUUUUGUAAACAAAGGAAAAGGCAAAAUCAAAAUGAGAAAAACACGAGUUUGAAAAGGAGGAGGAGGAGAAAUACUAGAAAGCGGUGUAGCGAGAGAAGCCAUUGGCAGAGGCCAUAAUUCCAAUAGAAGCAGCGGCAAAUGCACAUUGCCCUAUUCUCAGUACUAGCCCACUCACAGUUCCUGGACUCCCUAUCAAUUCCUUCAUUUU